UACGUAGGGGGCUAGCGUUGUCCGGAAUCAUUGGGCGUAAAGAGCGCGUAGGCGGCCAGAUAAGUCCGGUGUGAAAGUCAAAGGCUCAACCUUUGAAUGCCGCUGGAAACUGUCUGGCUAGAGUCCGGAAGGGGCGAGUGGAAUUCCUGGUGUAGCGGUGAAAUGCGCAGAUAUCAGGAGGAACACCAAUGGCGAAGGCAGCUCGCUGGAACGGUACUGACGCUGUGGCGCGAAAGCGUGGGGAGCAAACAGG
rnacentral:rRNA from 1 species